UGGGGGAUAUUGCACAAUGGGCGAAAGCCUGAUGCAGCGACGCCGCGUGGGGGAUGAAGGCUUUCGGGUUGUAAACCUCUUUCGCUAUCGAACAAGGCCCGCUUAGGGUGGGUUGAGGGUAGGUGGAGAAGAAGCGCCGGCUAACUACGUGCCAGCAGCCGCGGUAAUACGUAGGGCGCGAGCGUUGUCCGGAAUUAUUGGGCGUAAAGGGCUUGUAGGCGGCUUGUUGCGCCUGCUGUGAAAACGCGGGGCUUAACUUCGCGCGUGCAGUGGGUACGGGCAGGCUUGAGUGUGGUAGGGGUGACUGGAAUUCCAGGUGUAGCGGUGGAAUGCGCAGAUUUCUGGAGGAACACCGAUGGCGAAGGCAGGUCACUGGGCCAUUACUGACGCUGAGGAGCGAAAGCAUGGGUAGCGAACAGG
rnacentral:rRNA from 1 species